rnacentral:rRNA from 1 species
CCCUUAGAUGUUCUGGGCCGCACGCGCGCUACACUGAUGCACUCAACGAGUCUCACCUUGACCGAAAGGUCCGGGAAAUCUUCGAACUUGCAUCGUGAUGGGGAUAGAUUAUUGCAACUAUUAAUCUUCAACGAGGAAUGCCUAGUAAGCGCAAGUCAUCAGCUUGCGUUGAUUACGUCCCUGCCCUUUGUACACACCGCCCGUCGCUCCUACCGAUUGAAUGGUCCGGUGAAGCGUUCGGACCGUGGCCUUUGGACGGUUCGCCGUCUGUUGGCUGCGGGAAGUUCGUUAAACCUUAUCAUUUAGAGGAAGGAGAAGUCGUAACA